GCGCCCUUAGUUCAGUUGGUAGAACGUUGGUCUCCAAAACCAAAUGUCGUGGGUUCAAGUCCUACAGGGCGCG
rnacentral:tRNA from 1 species